rnacentral:rRNA from 1 species
GACGAACGCUGGCGGCGUGCUUAACACAUGCAAGUCGAGCGGUAAGGCCCUUUCGGGGGUACGACGAGCGGCGAACGGGUGAGUAACACGUGGGUGACCUGCCCUCCAGCUCUGGGAGUAAGCCUGGGAAACCGGGUCUAAUACUGGAUAUGACUCCAUGACGCAUGUUGUGGGGUGGAAAGCCUUGUGCGGCUGAGGAUGGGCCCGCGGCCUAUCAGCUUGUUGGUGGGGUGANGGCCUACCAAGGCGACGACGGGUAGCCGGCCUGAGAGGGCGACCGGCCACACUGGGACUGAGACACGGCCCAGACUCCUACGGGAGGCAGCAGUGGGGAAUCUUGCGCAAUGGGCGAAAGCCUGACGCAGCGACGCCGCGUGAGGGAUGACGGGCCU